rfam:Ficedula albicollis isolate OC2 chromosome 1A, whole genome shotgun sequence.
CCAAAGGCUCUUUUAAGAGCCACCACAACGUCUCUUAAAGAGCUGU